rnacentral:tRNA from 4 species
GCCUCCGUGGCGCAAAUGGAUAGCGCAGCGGUCUUCGAAGUCGUUGGUUGGGGGUUCGAAUCCCUCCGGAGGUGC